rnacentral:rRNA from 1 species
UCAAAUCUUUAAGAGCAAACGGUGGAUGCCUUGGCAUCUGGAGCCGAAGAAGGACGUAGCAAUCUGCGAUAAGCCUCGGGGAACUGAUAAGCAAGUUUUGAUCCGAGGGUGUCCGAAUGGGGAAACCCCGCUGGGCGGCGUGCCGACCUAGUGACUCCCGCCUGAAUAUAUAGGGCGGGUAGAGGGAACGUGGGGAAGUGAAACAUCUCAGUACCCACAGGAAGAGAAAGCAACCGCGAUUCCGUUAGUAGUGGCGAGCGAAACCGGAACAGGCUAAACCGAGUACGUGUGAUAUCCGGCAGGAGUUGCGUAUUCGGGGUUGUGGGACUUUUCAGACAGUUCUGCCGAUCUGUCGGCGUUACAAGAAGGUAUAGACGAACCGCAUUGAAAGGCGGGUCAUAGAGGGUGCCAACCCCGUAGUCGAAAUGCCUCUCUUGACGCGAAGAGUAUCCCAAGUAGCACGGGGCCCGAGAAAUCCCGUGUGAAUCUGUCAGGACCACCUGAUAAGCCUAAAUACUCCCAGAUGACCGAUAGCGGACAAGUACCGUGAGGGAAAGGUGAAAAGUACCCCGGGAGGGGAGUGAAAUAGUACCUGAAACCGUUUGCUUACAAACCGUUGGAGCCUCCUUAGUAGGGGUGACAGCGUGCCUUUUGAAGAAUGAGCCUGCGAGUUAGCGAUAUGUGGCGAGGUUAACCCGUGUGGGGUAGCCGUAGCGAAAGCGAGUCUGAAUAGGGCGAUUCAGUCGCAUGUCCUAGACCCGAAGCGAAGUGAUCUAUCCAUGGCCAGGUUGAAGCGACGGUAAGACGUCGUGGAGGACCGAACCCACUUAGGUUGAAAACUGAGGGGAUGAGCUGUGGAUAGGGGUGAAAGGCCAAUCAAACUUCGUGAUAGCUGGUUCUCUCCGAAAUGCAUUUAGGUGCAGCGUUGCGUGUUUCUUGCCGGAGGUAGAGCUACUGGAUGGCCGAUGGGCCCUACAAGGUUACUGACGUCAGCCAAACUCCGAAUGCCGGUAAGUGAGAGCGCAGCAGUGAGACUGUGGGGGAUAAGCUUCAUAGUCGAGAGGGAAACAACCCAGACCACCAUCUAAGGUCCCAAAGCGCGUGCUAAGUGGGAAAGGAUGUGGAGUUGCUUUGACAACCAGGAGGUUGGCUUAGAAGCAGCCACCCUUGAAAGAGUGCGUAAUAGCUCACUGGUCAAGUGAUUCCGCGCCGACAAUGUAACGGGGCUCAAGCACGCCACCGAAGCUGUGGCAUUGACAUUAUUGGUAGGCCUUCGUGGUCCAGCCGUGUUGAUGGGUAGGAGAGCGUCGUGUGGCCAGCGAAGCGGCGGUGUGAACCAGCCGUGGAGGCUACACGAGUGAGAAUGCAGGCAUGAGUAGCGAAAGACGUGUGAGAAACACGUCCUCCGAAAGACCAAGGGUUCCAGGGUCAAGCUAAUCUUCCCUGGGUAAGUCGGGACCUAAGGCGAGGCCGACAGGCGUAGUCGAUGGACAACGGGUUGAUAUUCCCGUACCGGCGAAGAACCGCCCAAGCUAAUCCAGUGGUGCUAAGAGUCCUAACCCGGCUGAGUGGAUCCCUUCGGGGUGAAGCCGGCCGGUCUAACGCUCGACCCCGUUCUGGUGCGGCUAGCGUAUUAACAGGUGUGACGCAGGAAGGUAGCCCAACCCGGGCGAUGGUUGUCCCGGGGCAAGUGCGUAGGCCGAGAGAUAGGCAAAUCCGUCUCUCACAUAGGCUGAGACACGAUGCGGAUAAAAAGUGGGUGAUCCUAUGCUGCCAAGAAAAGCAUCGACGCGAGGUUCAAGCCGCCCGUACCCCAAACCGACUCAGGUGGUCAGGUAGAGAAUACCAAGGAGAUCGAGAGAAUCGUGGUUAAGGAACUCGGCAAAAUGCCCCCGUAACUUCGGGAGAAGGGGGGCCUUCCGCUUAUUAGGAUUUACUCCGAAAGGGCGUGGAGGCCGCAGAGACUAGUGGGUAGCGACUGUUUACUAAAAACACAGGUCCGUGCCAAGUCGCAAGACGAUGUAUACGGACUGACGCCUGCCCGGUGCUGGAAGGUUAAGAGGACCGGUUAGCCGCAAGGCGAAGCUGAGAAUUUAAGCCCCAGUAAACGGCGGUGGUAACUAUAACCAUCCUAAGGUAGCGAAAUUCCUUGUCGGGUAAGUUCCGACC